rnacentral:tRNA from 1 species
GCCUGGCUGGCUCAGUUGGUGGAGCAUGUGACUCUUAAUCUCAAAGUCAUGAGUUUGAGCCCCACGUUAGGUG